UACAUCCCUGCAACGAAGGGUCGAACGAAGUACCGAGCAGCAGUGACCGACUUCGCUCGACCAAAUGCCUUCGUUGUCUAUCUCGUUUACUAGCCUUCUUGUGCAUUCGCCUGCCCAUCUGCUGUAUCAGCCGGCCCCUUCAUUUAAAACACCUUGUUCGAGAAGUUAAUUCUCUUCCGGACGACCGGACACUCAAUAAGAAGACCCUUUUCUUCAUUGCGCACGAUGUGUGAUUGCAGUGUUGACUAUUCUACACACAUUGACCUAGAUAUCAAAGCGCUUGAAACCUACUCUUCUGCGCUGCUAUAGCUAUCUGCGAUCCCUUUUAGAAUAUCCGGUUCCACCUUACAUCAAAUCCUUAGUUUACAUCAUGAUCUCGUCAUCAUCAAGGCCGCAAAUCUCGUAUCUUUAGGAUAUGCUAUUAAACCCGAUUUGCUGACAAAAGAUCAGCUCUUUCCAGCUUUGAAUGCCUACUAGUAUAAUGCGGUCUGAAGAUUCGUUCUUCCAUUUUUUUUUUCAGUUUUGCUUAUUUGUCAUGGUUUAGCAAUUGCAGAAGUUAUCCGCCAUAAUUGGGUUUUGAGAUGUCACGCCUGUUGUGACACUAGUUCAUUGCAUAACAAGAAGAGAGAAAGAACCAAGAAACAGAUGUGCAGAAUUACAAGCGUCCUGUAAGGAACGAGGGUAGGGAGAAGAGGAAGUAGAAGACAGGAGGAAGAUGGGGAAGUAGUUUGGGGUACCGAAGAGAAAAGAGGAGUAAUAGGAAGGCGAGAGGAAGAGAAGGAGGACCGUGAGAGGAGGCGUUAGGGAAGAGAGAGGUACGAGUGA
rnacentral:sRNA from 1 species